GACGAACGCUGGCGGCGUGCUUAACACAUGCAAGUCGAACGGUGAAGCGCCUUCCUUUUUGGUGGGUGUGGAUGAGUGGCGAACGGGUGAGUAACACGUGAGUAACCUGCCCCCUUCUUCUGGAUAACCGCAUGAAAGUGUGGCUAAUACGGGAUAUUCUGGGUCUGUCGCAUGAUGGGUCUGGGAAAGAUAUUGUUUCGGUGGGGGAUGGGCUCGCGGCCUAUCAGCUUGUUGGUGGGGUGAUGGCCUACCAAGGCGGUGACGGGUAGCCGGCCUGAGAGGGUGGACGGUCACACUGGGACGGAGACACGGCCCAGACUCCUACGGGAGGCAGCAGUGGGGAAUAUGGCACAAUGGGCGCAAGCCUGAUGCAGCGACGCCGCGUGAGGGAUGGAGGCCUUCGGGUUGUGAACCUCUUUCGCCAGUGAAGCAGGCCUGCCUCGUUUGUGGGUGGGUUGACGGUAGCUGGAUAAGAAGCGCCGGCUAACUACGUG
rnacentral:rRNA from 1 species